AUGGGUCGACAAACCUGACCCUCAGACUACAGUAAUUCCCGAAAAUACUCUGAUUCGGACGUCACUUUUUACCAACAAGUGACUGUUUCUAACUCUGAAAACGCCCAACUGCUUAAGUAAGCAACCAGCUGUGGAGAGAAAUCGAGUCUCAAGUCAACUGAAUGAAGUCCUAUCCUUUAAGGUGUGUCAGAAGGAAGAGGUGAGCGCAGGCCUCGGAGCUAUUGAUGCUACCUAAAGCAAGAUCCUGAGGAGGCUCCGGCCCAGAUCACGGGGUCCUGUGUCAGUGCUGUGAU